rnacentral:misc_RNA from 1 species
GAUGAAGAACGUAGCGAAAUGCGAUACGUAAUGUGAAUUGCAGAAUUCCGUGAAUCAUCGAAUCUUUGAACGCACAUUGCGCCUGCCAGCACUCUGGCAGGCAUGCCUGUUCGAGCGUCAUUUCAACCAUCAAGCCCUAGGCUUGCGUUGGAGCCCUGCGGCUGCCGCAGGCCCCUAAAAGCAGUGGCGGGCUCGCUAUCACACCGAGUGCAGUAGAUUACUCUUCGCUCAGGGCGUGUGGCGGGUUCCAGCCGUGAAACCCCCUACUUCUCAAGGUUGACCUCGGAUCAGGUAGGAAUACCCGCUGAACUUAAGCAUAUCAAUAAGCGGAGGA